rnacentral:tRNA from 1 species
GCUCGGGUGGUGAAAUGGCAGACACAUACGUUUGAGGGGCGUAUGCCGAAAGGCGUGGGGGUUCAAGUCCCCCCCCGAGCACCA